CCCAGGCGUGUGUGUGAGGGGCGGGUGACUGACACGUCCAUAGAGAUCCUCUGGGACCCUGCAGAGGGAGACACACACACAUAUGAAGCCAUCUGCUUGGACUGUGCUGACGCUGUCAUGGUGCAGAAGGUUGUGGAGGAGAGAGCAGUGUUUAGCGGCUUCCUCCCUGGCCAAGUGUUCAACUUCUCUGUGCGCUCUGAGAAAGAGUCCUACAGAGACAGUCCAGCAGUCUACCUCAGUGUCAGAGCAGCCCCCAGUCCAGUGGUGCUGUUGGGACUAAAGAAGAUGACGUCAUCAAUCACCAUCAGCUGGAGAGAAGGCCUGGGGUUGUGCGAUGGGUUCCUACUGUCAAUCAAAAACAUGACCUUUAACCUACAGAAGAUGCUCAGUGGCUCAGAGGCGAGAGUGCAUUGCUUUGAUGACCUUUCACCCGGAAGUGAUUACCACAUAGAGUUCCAGUGCCUCCACAGGAAGUGGUCUUCAUUGAACAGGGAGUCAGCUCCAUGUACAUCAGGUGGACACACCCACCGGGCAGGGAUGAGGGUUUCUGGGUACAGCAUGUGCUGAGAUCUGAUCCAACUACCACUCGUGAUGCCCGUAUCCAUGGCAACAGCAUCUGUCUGAGGGACCUGCUGCCAGGAAGUGAUUAUGAGUUCAGCAUCAGGACCAUACUGGGAGAAGACAUGAGUGACACGUACUCAAC
rnacentral:lncRNA from 1 species